ACCCGCGACGAGAAGCCUCUGGACACGGAGACGCACCGGAAUCCGAAGGAAGCGCACGUACCACGCUCGCCGAGAUAAGCUUCCUGCCGCCUCCACCUUUCCACCCACAGCUCGCCGCCGCCUGACACCGGAGACCACCCUCGAAGACCUACUCAUGGCUGUCCUGCUCCGCACCACCAGCUGCGCCGCCGCCACGACCGCCGGCUCCUCCUCGACCCUCCUCGCCACAACCUUCCGCCGCGACCGCCGCCUCCUCCCGUCCCGCGCUUCGCCGGCGCGCCGUGCCUUCACUACCCGCGCCUCGGCCGAACCGCUGGAGGUUUGCGCCAAGGCCUCCAUCACCGUCCCCGACCGCCUCGGCGAUUGUCCUUUCACGCAGAGAGUUUUGUUGACGAUAGAGGAGAAAAACCUGCCUUAUGAAUUAAAACUAGUUGAUCUUGCUAACAAACCAGAUUGGUUAUUUACCAUUAACCCAGAAGGUAAGGUGCCUAUUGUCAAGCUCGAGGACAAAUGGGUUGCUGAUUCUGAUGUUAUAACACAAGUGUUAGAAGAAAAGUAUCCUCAACCAUCCUUGGCAACUCCACCAGAAAAGGCUUCAAUAGGGUCAAAAAUAUUCUCCACAUUCAUUGGCUUUCUCAAGAGCAAAGAUACCAAUGAUGGAACAGAGCAGACACUACUCAGUGAGCUGACUUCUUUUGAUAGCUAUCUAAAAGACAAUGGUCCAUUUAUCAAUGGUGGAACAAUUUCUGCCGCUGAUCUCUCUCUUGCUCCGAAAUUAUAUCACAUGGAGAUUGCUCUAGGUCACUAUAAGAAUUGGUCUGUCCCAGAUGCACUUGCACAUGUGAAAACAUACAUGAAGACUAUUUUCUCAAUGGAUUCAUUUGUCAAUACUCGGGGCCUGCCAGAGGAUGUUAUUGCUGGAUGGCGCUCAAAAGUCAUGGGUUAAGUCACCGCAGUAAAGUAAGACAUCCAGAUAAGAUGAGAGACAAGGCUAUCGGAUGAUGAAGAAUGAAGAGAUUUCCAUGUUCAUGUGUAUAAGCUGCAGACAUUUACUGAAGAAUUUCAGUGUAAAACUUUGAAGACUGAGCUGACAUCAAAGGGACCAGUUAUGGAAUACAUGCCUGAAUUAGUCGUCAGCUGUCACAGUUCUGCACAGAGUAGUGGCAGCCAUCAUUGAGAUGGUGUCCACUAGCCGUUUUGCAGUCCUGAAAGACAUGAAGCAUAACUUGGGCCAGCUUCAACCACACUGGGACGCUUCAUUCGUUGGAUCCCAUGAUUUAGUAUCAAUAUCUUUGUUGAAUACACACAACACAUCACUUUUGGCCUUGCCAAUUUUAUUUUGUGUGAAAUUAUUGAGUCCUUUUCAAUGGUGUUAGUGGAUAUGCCCCCAUUAUCAAGAACAGCGCCGCACACUGUAACACUUCACCGUGUUUAAAAAAUGUUCCAACCGUCUCCGCAUUAUUUUGUCUUCUCAUGACUAUAUCUUGCUACUGACUAUUCUAUGUAUGGUACUGGGUUGUGAGUUGUGACACACACAUAUGUUAUUGCCAGCAUUGCAGUGUUAUAUGCUUGAA